AACUCUGGACCUUCGGAAGAGCAGUCGGGUGCUCUAACCCACUGAGCCAUCUCACCAGCCCUGUUUAUCUUUUUUCAAAGAACUUGUGUGCAAUGCAAGUCUAUUUUAAAUAUAAUAAAUUUUUAGUUCAAAAUGAAAAAAAAAGAAUACAGAAGCAAGGGCUAAGCAUGUAGCCAAAGCAGAGAACUUGUGUAGCAUGAGUGAGUACUAAAUUGGAUCUCCAGCACAGGAAAGAGAAGUGGACGCAAAAACAAGAGUGAGUGUUGAUAUAGUCACAUAUUUUGUUGCAGAGAGAAGCUGCAUGAAGCCAACAAUGAAUUGCAGAAAAAGAGAGCCAUUAUUGAAGAUCUCGAGCCAAGAUUUAACAACAGCUGUGAGUUUUUCCUAAUAGCAUCAUUAGCCAUACACUGUUCUAGAGAUAACGAAUUUAUGUAACUUGUUUCUCUAAAUAGUUCUUUUAGGUAUUCCAGCCACUUAGAAUUUCCCUUAAAGAGAGAAGAUGACUUAAUAGUUAAGAGUACUUGCUGCUCUUCCAGAAGAUAAGAGUUUGAUUGCCAGAACCUACAUUGGGUGGCUCACAACCCCUGUAACUCAAACCUCAGGGACUCCAACACCCUCUCUGGCCUCUAUGAUACCCACACACAUUUGACAUAUACUCAAAUAGGCACAUACUCAUGUGCUUAAGAAAAUAAUAUAAAAAUAUUUAAAAUAGUUUAUUAAAAAAGAAGUUGUCAGGUUUUGGAGAGCUGGCUCAAAGCAAAGCACUCUUUCUGUCCUUGUGGGAGACCAAAGUUUGGUUCCCAGCACCAAUGUCAGGUUCACAAGUACCUAUAACUUUAGUUUCCGAGGAUCCAAUGCCUCUGGCCCUGUGGGCAUCUGUACUCAGGUGCAGAUACACACACACACACACACACACACAAAAUAAUAAUAGAAAAUUUUAAGAAUUUGCCUUAUUUCUUAAAGCACUAAUUUUAUAAAUUCUUUACCUGUGGAUUGUAAUGGAUAUCAUAUGAAGCUAAAUAUUUUCAAGGUAAUUGUGAUGUUAGCUCUGGACAUAUACUUUUUUUUGGUACUUAUAACUGUAAUUAGCUUUAUUUUAUGAAAGUGAAAUGGCAAACUUUAAUUUUAAGGUAGAGCAAAAUAUACAUAGGAGCAGGUGGCCACUUUAAGAAUACGGUAGAGUGAAUUAAAUAGUGUGUGAGCCUCACACUGCCCACCUGCAGGUCACUGCAGCCACUCACCUGGAGCUGCUUCUGCCUCUGCUCGGCCUGGGUUAGCCACUGCUUUACCCUCUGUCUCUGCACUGAACUAUUUAAGAAGUUCAUACAAGCAGCAUCGUGUUUGUACUGUCACGCCUACUUAUUUCACUACGCAUAGAAUGUCGUUCUUUUUCACUUAACAUUAAGUCUCUAUGGCAUGUAUCAGAUUUAAGACUUAAAAAGAUCAAAUUGGGGCUGGAGAGAUGGCUCAGCGGUUAAGAGCACUGACUGCUCUUCUGAAGGUCCUGAGUUCAAAUCCCAGCAACCACAUGGUGGCUCACAACCAUCCGUAACAAGACCUGGUACCCUCUUCUGGAGUGUCUGAAGGCAGCUACAGUGUACUUACAUAUAAUAAAUAAAUAAAUCUUUAAAAAACAAACAAACAAACAAAAAAAGAUCAAAUUGUGAUAUUGUUUAUUCAUUUAUCCAUCAAUAGAUACUUUUUACUUUAUGUAAUUUAGUUCUGAUGUUUUGUUUACUUAUUAAAGAAGAUUUUAGUAAAAUAACAAUAUGGAUUAAUUUUUAAAGAGAAAAUUAUAUAUAUAUAAUUAUGUAUGUAUUAUAGAGAGGGACCAGUCUCUGAAAUAUUACUUAUUAAUAAAUAAAUUUAAAUUUAAUGUAAUUAAAUUUUAAUUUUUUAUGGUCAUCUUUUAUGGACAGCCUUAAGAAUUGAAGAAUUGCAAGAGGCUUUACGG
rnacentral:lncRNA from 1 species